GCUCGGUAGUAGCGUCACUUCCGGAGUCUCUGCCGGGCGCCGCCCGCGUCCCCCACGGCACGCUCGCAUCUCACAGCACCCCCUCGCGGCCCGGAGAAAAGAAGGAAUGGGAAACAAGACCAUUUAUGAGGAGCUAACUUCUAUCAAGUUGUCAGCCGCAGAGGAUGCCUGUGAAUGCACAAACAUCAAACUCGUCAUGGGCCAGAGAUAUAACCCAAUGGUGGGGUACCAAGCAUCUUACAUCACCUGCAUAUUAAGGAGAAUCACCAUUCCUCCCUGUCAGCUCGUGAUUUCUCUCUCCGCCUGUGACUUCCUGAGGCAGGUGUGUUUGUGUCUCUGAUUACUGAGAACAGGACAGGACAGGUUUCACUAUGAACACUGCUGGUUCCCUUCUCUGAAGAACCGAGCUAUCAAGGUCCUUUGUUUGAGAAGUGUUGAAAGCCACCUUCAGCAGAAGUCCAAUUCCCACAGCUGUGUCACACCAUGGAGAUGUGGAGGUAGCAGAACUCAGAGAGGUGACUUGUGAUGGGGGAAGGCUCAGCUAUACCCUCAAGGGGUGCUGCCAGGCAUCUGCCUACCAAGCACUCCCUGGUAAAAAAAAAGUCUUGUUUUUCAGAGCUUAUUUUGUGGGAUUGGUCUCCUCUGUUUUACUUUCUUGUUGCUGUAAUUCUGAUUGAUGAAAAGUACAUCUUGCAGUAGACUCUGUGCCAGGGAAAUGGGACUAAACUUCCUGCCUAAAAGGAACCUUUGUGGAAGGAUUAGCCAUAGGUAGCUGUGCUGUCGUGGAAAAUGUUAGGAGUGCUCCAUGGAGUCUGUAGGCCAUUUCCCUGAUUCUGGCCACUCGUUCAGCACAAAGCACAUGCUGCUCUGAAAUAUCUAGAUGUUCCCCAAGUAUAUCAAAUUUCUAAAAGAAGGAGCUGACUCUUCAAGGGCAGGGACUGUGUCUCUUCUGCUGUACCUCACAGCAAGCAGCAUUGCCCUGAGCACUCCUGGUGACUGUGGGACUCCACUGAUUGACAGCUAGAUUGAGUGAAUUCGUAGUGCAGCCAGGUCUAGAACACUCAGAAUCUGAGUGCUCCUCAGUCCUCUUACAGAACUCACAGUGCUGUCACAGCAGCCAUGCAAAGCCCUAAAUUAGGUCAGAAAAAUCAGACCACAGAGAGAAAAACACCAGCCCUCCAAACUAAGUACAGCCAGGGACCACUCCCAGGAAGGUGCCUCAGGCCUAGGGCUCCUUGGAUUCUGGUCCCCAGAAGUGAUGAGAGAGGGUGAGGACCUGGGGUUUGGAGGCUGCACACUUGAGAUCUGUGAGACAGUGUCUACAUGGAUGAGUCUUCACUCAGUAAGCUAACUGCCAGUCCUGCAAUGUGAAGACACACUGCAGCUGAAGGGCCCUGGAGGCAAGCAGGAUGACACCUCACUAACACCCAUCGGUGUUGCUUCUGACUCUUGAACUGUGGCCCCCUGGCAUAAAUUGAUGAUGCCUCAAGUCCUGGAUGCAGGGUCAGGGGAGCCCAAGCAAUGCAGAUCUGCCAUGUGCAAAUGUCUAUCUGUGUCAAAGUGAUUGGUACCAAGAGAACUCACUGACGGAUGCAGAGGUCAAGGGUUUCCUCAUCUCCAAUCUCCUUUGAUACUGAAAACUCAAGGCAAGGAAAUUUUAUCAGAGUGGCAUUACUUAGCAAGUGGAUUUUAUUCAUAACAACACUAGAUUUAUAGUGUCUGUCAACCCAGUUCUGAGAGUCUUGUGGAAUCUUAAGUGUAGCAACAGAAUAGGUUUGAAUUCAAAAGUCACAGGAAGUACCCUCAUUUGUAGAAGGCAGUUCCACAUUAGGAUACAUUAGGACCACCCUCAAAAGUAGCAACCAAACAUUCUUUUCAGAUUUAUAUAAUGAUUUAAUAAUAUGGGCUCCAUGUUUGGACCCCACGUGACCCCGGACAAAUUUUUCAUCCCACUAAACCUCUAUUUCUUCACCUGUAAUGCCUACAGAAUAAUGCUGGUGUGGCGGGAAACUAAGAAAGGUAAAGUGUUUGUCACAUGCCUGGUAAAUGUGCAAAAGAUUACUUUUAUUUAUAUAUUAUCAUGUAUUAUCUAUGUUCCUAUAAAGUACUUAGUUACAAUAAUAUCUCCUGAAUUUCUGUUUGCACAUUAAAUUCUCAUUGAACCUCUUUAAUUGCAACACAGGGAAAUCUUUCUACAUGCCAGAUACUACUUGGUGUCUCACAAUAGCUCAGCGAGGGAGGAAUGGUCGUCCCUGUUCUGCAGGUUAGAACGCUGACUUUGGAGAGGCUGAGUGGCGUGCUCAGCACCACUCUGGGGACUGACUGAUUCCGGGCCAUUGAACUCCAAAGCUGCUCUUUCUGUUUUGCUGUUUUCAAGGAGUCACUUUGUUCUUGACCUUUGAUGUUAUUAAUUUUUGGUAUUCAAAUGGCAGUGCAUGAUAGAUUACAUGUGGAGUCAUAUCUGUAAAUAAUUUGUAAAUAGGUGUUUGGCUAUAGCACCAUAUGUAUACAUAGGCAGAGUUUCUUUUGUGCAAAUGCUCUGUUUUCGUUCUUACAUUACACUCAGGUGGGACCAUUGCUUCCUGUGUUGAUGAACUUCUGCCGUUGCUCAUGCCAGAAGUUGUUGAUAAGAGGUGUUUCUAUUUGUUAAUUAUAGCACCAACAUAUGAAUCGCUCUAUUAUACUAACACAUUGAUGCCAUUCUUUCCAUUUUGCAAUAACCUAAAGGACCUUUAAGUUUACUAAAUAUCUUGCAACCUCUUUCUUAGAGAAGAUUUGUGAUAAUAAAAGGCUUGGAAUCUG